rnacentral:lncRNA from 1 species
UUCAUACUCAUUCUUAACCUCUCUCGAGCUCGCACACACAAAGCACUCUCUCAAACCCUAACACUCGCGAUUUCUCCCUCUCAUUCACAAAUCACUUGCGAUUUCUCCUUCUCCCUCCCAUUGGCAGCCUCACAAAUCACUCGCGAGUCCACUGAUAAUUGCCUUUCUAUCGUUUGUUCUUCGAUCUCCAUCGAUUUCCACCGUUUAAACACUUUUGUACCAACCAAUCUUGAGUUUGAAUUGAUUAAUCGGUUCAUAUUAAGUUUCUUCGCAUUUUUAGGGUUCCUUCGGUCUUGAUUAGGGUUCGUCCUCCAUUUAUGAGUUUUUCCCCAAUCGUUCUAGCUUUUAUCCGUUCGUUUAGGGUUUUCUAACAUUUUCUUCCGUUCAUUCUCUAUUUCACUCUCCAUCUCGAGUUCGUCUCGUUAUUCUACUAUGUUUGCUCAUCAAGGAAGCUUCGAAGGAGUUUGAGUCGAGUCCACAUCACUCUUCUGGUCAUCUUCUGGUCAUCUUCUUGGAAGCUCUUCUAUCGAGUGGUAUUAAGAUCAAGGACAAGCACACUACAUGAGAUAAGUAUUGCUUUCCUUAUUUCUAUUAAUUUGUCUUGAAUUGAUUCCAGUUGAUUGUUCUCUAUUUUGAGUUUUGCAUAUCUGCUUGUUGAGUUUUCUUCAAUUUUUUCGCAUUGUUAAUUUUACUUUUCCUUUGAUGUAUUGAUUUGUUGUAAGCUGCGUUUUGUUUUCAUUCAUUGUUGUCUUGAGUUCUAUUUUGUUAUUUUGCUCAUAAACUGUUUGUUUAAAUGUCUAAGAGAGCUAAUCUGAAAAUGUUCAUUCUUGAAUCAAGCCUAGCAUUCACGUUCCUCUUUUCCUUUUUCUUAUUCUCUCUUUUCAUUUCUUCUUCCUCACCUAGAAGCCAUCAAAACCUAGGAACCCAUUGUGCAAUGGGACGUGAGAGGAAGCAAUUAUGUUCGGAGAGAAAUGGAAU